AGAGUUUUAUAAUAACUGCUUGUUUCCCAAAUAGAACCUCCUCAUAUGAAGCUAACUAAGAUAUUCCCAGACAGCAUCUUUCCAGCACAAUGAAUCCAGUGAAUACUGUGGUUAGAACUGUAUGUUUGUUACAAGAAAGUAAUAAAUUGUGUUCCUCAUUAAUGAUAAUUUGUAAUUGUUCAACAUCAUCAUUAGUAUGCAUGAAUAGCAUUUAAAAGUCCAUCCCCCAACAAGAAGGAUUUAUCCCUAAGAAGUAUAAACACUAAGUUGUUAUAAAUCAUUUCAAGAGUUUAUUUUUAAACAGAAUGUUGCAAUUAUAGGGGAGGUUUGAUUUGGCACAAUUUCACUUAUAUUAAUGUGAUCAUUUCAUCCACUUCUAGCAAUAAUUGUAUGCUCACUAAUGCACAUGUCAUAUUUCUUUUAAGAUGAUGGAGAAUGAAAAAAAAUGCAAAGAACACUAACAGCAAAGCAAAUUAUGUAUACAGAUAAACUAACACAAUUUGAUCAGAGUUUA
rnacentral:lncRNA from 1 species